GAUUUCUCGUCCCAAUGAUGAAUAGUUCAUAUCUGAAAUGGUAGCUGUAUUCCGUAAGAAGCAUCCAAAAUAGGAUAUGGAAAAAAUUGACAAGGAGAAAGGCAAAGCACUAAUUAGAAGUUCCGGCUAUGUCGCAUUGCUUUGUUGUGCAUCUUCCCAAAGAAACUUCUUCGGUUUCCUUGCAAUGUGCACAUCAACAAGUUAUGUACGAUGAUUGUCCGCAUAAUAAUUCGCACCACAUGUCGUAAAUCAAUGUCAGAAAACUAGAAACAGAUUAACAGAGCCAUGGAUGGUAGAGAGAGGAAAAAUUAUAUGCAGCUUCCACAAAGGCAUGAGUAGGAAAAUACACAAUAUGAAGAAACAUUCAAAAUUUGUUACUACAACGAAAUGACCUAGUUCUUCCUUUUGACACCAGCUUCAGUUCAGAAAAGAAUGACCAUGCCACCCACCAAAGCGGGCCAUGUUCUACCCAAACUGGGCCUGGAAAAGUAUUUGAAAUUAUAAGUCAAUUAGGAAAAAAGUUAUGUUGUGUCCAAACAUGUAAAAGGGUGAAUUUUGUUGUGCAAAGUUCAGUAUUUUGUGAACUUCCUUCCUUUCCUAAAUUGUGAAUUUGUGUUACUCUGUUACCUUUGUGAACAAGAAGCAACACGUGCAUAGGCAUUUGGAGUAUUUGCUCAUUCAUUGACCUGUUCUAGAUAGGCAUACAUCAAUGCAAGCAUACAUCCAUGUGCUACUCAUUCUUACCACAAAUAAGGAUACCUCUGCAGCUUCAGAAUUAGUUAGUAUCUAUGUGUCACCUCAGCAGCCUGGAUAUCAAAUGAGGACAAAAAGGAAUCAUCAGGCAAUCAAAACAAAAGAAUGACACCUCUGCAGCUUCAGAAUUAAUUAGUAUCAAUUAUAGAAAGACACUGAGCAUCAUGCCUACCUUUUGUUCUAGAUGAUAUGACCCUUUUUGACUAUAUAUAUAUAUGCUAGCUAGCUUUUGCCAGUCUCAAACAGCAUUAAGCAUUCAGGCAGUCACAUGCAUAUUUUCUCUAGAAGUUGUGGAGCAUUAAUGUUUCCUUAUCUUUUGAUACAUAUACUUGUAGUUUAAUUUUCUCGUGUUACCAAAUGAGCAAUGAAAAACUAGCAAAGUACAACAACUAAUUAUACGAGUAAAUCAUCAUCCAACCUAAUAGCUACAAAUUACAUGUAAGCAACCCAUCAUGUUUAAUUAAAUAUAGGUAGACAUGUCAUCAUGCUUAAUUAGUACUACUUAAUUUGUUUCUCUCCAAUAGCAAGUAGAGAGCCUACACUGGAAUAGGGGUUCUCUCCUCAAAAAAAUGAUGCAGCCCCCAUUAGAAAAGAGAAACAACUAAUUAAGAACCCUCCAAUUAAACUUCACUUUACCUUCUUUCCAUGAGAAUUUGAUUGAUUAAAGAGGGGCUAGUCCAGUUCAUCCAAAAACAGUGGAGCUCAAAGAAAGGAAGGCACGAAUAAUCUAAAACAGAGAAGAGACAGAGCUACCAUCUUUGGCUGGAUCGAAGAAGAUAACCUUGUGUUUUCUCCUCAGGAGCCUUGUGCUACUUCUCUUCUUCUUUGAUAGAAAGCCCAUUCCCGUCCAGCUUCUUCUAAUCUCCCUCAUCAGCAGUUCCUUUCCAGCAUCCCAUUAUCCAGAGUUGAGCUAAUUAAAUUUCUGUCAAUCUCAGAGCUUAGAAAGCAUAAGCGUGCAGGCGUCUAAAUAGACGGAUCAGGAGGAACUUUUACAAUCCAAUUUUUACGCACCAAUCUCCAAGAAGAAGAAAUCACGGGAGAACC
rnacentral:lncRNA from 1 species